rnacentral:rRNA from 1 species
UACGGGGGGGGUAAGCGUUGUUCGGAAUUACUGGGCGUAAAGGGCUCGUAGGCGGCCAACUAAGUCAUACGUGAAAUCCCUCAGCUUAACUGGGGACUGCGUGUGAUACUGGGAUGGCUUGGAUUGGGAGAGGGAUGCGGAAUUCCAGGUGUAGCGGUGAAAUGCGUAGAUAUCUGGAGGAACACCGGUGGCGAAGGCGGCAUCCU